rfam:Olsenella scatoligenes strain SK9K4 contig_1, whole genome shotgun sequence.
GCGUGCCGCCGCGGUCUACGUCGGCGCGCCGUCAUCUGUUGGUCCGUCCGCACGGCACGGGGCGGAAGAGACGAGAGGA